CCGAUUCAUCGGUGGGAGGCUCGACCCACAAAACGAC
rnacentral:rRNA from 1 species